AUGUACCCCGCGUCCACUGCGGUUGUGAGCGCGCCGUCCGCGCCCGCUGACAGCUCUCGCUACGUUGUGUUAGCC
rnacentral:sRNA from 1 species